AAGCAAUGCCGGCAAGUGUCUGUGAAGAUGUAUGUGUGUCUGUUUAUAUUCAUUUCGAUUGCAUUCUCGCUUCAACCGUUGUUACCACCACCGCCGUCGCAAUGGACGAUGCCUCGUGUCAAAGUUGUUGCACUUUGCAACACUGAUUUGCAUAAAAGGCCUUUUAUCACCUCCCGCUAGGAGGCGAGCAGACGAAAUUGACAAUGCAAAUCGAUGUGCAAAGGCCGUGGAAAGGGGAAUAGACAUCAAAAUAUGUAACUCGAUUUGCCAACAGGUUGACAUUGUUAAUUAACGUGUAACGAAAAAUCGAAACUGUUUUACACUUCACUUCAUUUCGUUACACAAACUGUGUUACCCUGUAUUCCACCGACUUGCAUGUCGCCAAAAAUGUUCAUAAAUAAAUUGUCUAUGUUAUGACUAAACGUUUAGAUAAGAACGAACCCACAUAUUACGAUCCAUUGUUAUUGCACAUUUUAUGGCCCAAGAAAUGCGUCAAUAAAUGAACGGAAAAUAAUUCAGCUAAUGCA